AUUGAACGCUGGCGGCAUGCCUUACACAUGCAAGUCGAACGGCAGCGGGGGAGAAGCUUGCUUUUCCUGCCGGCGAGUGGCGAACGGGUGAGUAAUACAUCGGAACGUGCCCUGUAGUGGGGGAUAACUAGUCGAAAGAUUAGCUAAUACCGCAUACGACCUGAGGGUGAAAGUGGGGGACCGCAAGGCCUCAUGCUAUAGGAGCGGCCGAUGUCUGAUUAGCUAGUUGGUGGGGUAAAGGCCUACCAAGGCGACGAUCAGUAGCUGGUCUGAGAGAACGCUCAGCCAGCCGGGGACUGAGACACGGCCCAGACUCCUACGGGAGGCAGCAGUGGGGAAUUUGGGACAAUGGGCGAAAGCCUGAUCCAGCAAUGCCGCGUGUGUGAAGAAGGCCUUCGGGUUGUAAAGCACUUUUGUCCGGAAAGAAAUGGCUCUGGUUAAUACCUGGGGUCGAUGACGGUACCGGAAGAAUAAGGACCGGCUAACUACGUGCCAGCCGCCGCCGUAAUAC
rnacentral:rRNA from 1 species